AGCAGCCGCGGUAAUUCCAGCUCCAAUAGCGUAUAUUAAAGUUGUUGCAGUUAAAAAGCUCGUAGUUGAAUUUCGAGACCGGCUUACUGGUCGUGCUUCUGUGCGUACUGGUAUAAUCGGUUUCUCCUUUCUGACGAACUUUAAUGCCAUUAAUUUGGUGUUUUAGGGAAUCAGGACUGUUACUUUGAAAAAAUUAGAGUGUUUAAAGCAGGCUCACGCUUGAAUACAUUAGCAUGGAAUAACGGAAUAGGACGUUUGAUUCUAUUUUGUUGGUUUCUAGGAUCGACGUAAUGAUUAAUAGGGAUAGUUGGGGGCAUUAGUAUUCAAUUGUCAGAGGUGAAAUUCUUGGAUUUAUUGAAGACUAACUACUGCGAAAGCAUUUGCCAAGGAUGUUUUCAUUAAUCAAGAACGAAAGUUAGGGGAUCGAAGACGAUCAGAUACCGUCGUAGUCUUAACCAUAAACUAUGCCGACUAGGGAUCGGAUGAUGUUAAUUUUUUUCAAUGACUCAUUCGGCGCCUU
rnacentral:rRNA from 1 species